AGCUUUGCACAGUGGCAGCAUCAUAGCCAAUGAGGCUUAUGCGAUUAUUGCUAAUUGAAAACUUUUCCCAAUACCCCGCCACGACGACUUGAAAUAUAGUCAACACUGGAAGUUUUUGACAGUCUUUACGAAGA